UAACAAUAAGAAAAUAAAUAAACAUUUUUUUAUUAAAAAAAAAAAGUCGCCGGAAUCCGACCACUUUUGGCCGGAAAUUUUCUUGUAUGGUGCUAAGUGCACCCAUGCUAAUACUUCGGGGUGUUUUGGCUAUUUUUCUUAGUUUAGGGUGCUGAGUGCACCCAAGCCAAAGUUCAGAGUAUUGAGGCCAAUUUUACCUUUUUUAUUUAGAUAAACAAAGGGUUUUUGCUUGUGAACUAAAUAGUACGUAGUUUAAGACUUGUUUGGUGCAAGGAUGACAUCCAUUUAUAUAACCUACAACUCUACAAGCAAUUGGUGCUGCAAUUAAAAAUGCAUCUAUUUAUCUUGCUUUUAGAAUUAUUUAUUACUAGGGUCCUAGUUAAGUAGUUUUGCUUAUUAUUUCCUUAUUAUGAGCUUUUUUUUUUUUCUUAAUAUUAAGUCCUGUGUUCGGUAUCUUUAGUAGGUUGUUGUUACAUUUGUACUUGUAGUCAAAAUUACAUUAUACAUAGUAUGACCAAGUCCCAACCAUGCUAUAUCAAUCUCUUUUUGCUUCUGCAGAUUUGUUUGGAUUUGUUAACAUUUCUUUUGUACACAGAUUUGCUACUAUUUAUGAUUUUGGGAAAAUUAGUGGUUGACUUUCAAAAUCACAUUGCAUGUAUAAUUCCCUUAGUUGGCUCACUGAGAUAAUGUUGAAAAAAAAGUGCUUGGGUUAUCUAGGACUUGGUACUGCCAUAUUAAUUCCACCUUCAGAUUUUCUUUUUUUUUUUAAAAAAAAAAAAAUUAUGAUAUAGUUUGCGACAAGUUAUAUUAUGUAUACUGAUUGUUUUUCUAUUAUUAUUAGACACCUUGGACUGAAAUGUUCAAAAAGGUUUAGCUAGUUAGUGUGCGUGAACUAUGUCAUUUCUAAUUAAUUUCUUUUUUAUUUAAAUUUUUUUUAGUCACUUCAACCUUAUUGAAAAAGGAAGGGGGAAAUGCACUAUUUAUAGAAGUUGAGCUCUAUAGAAGAAUUUGGCCUACUUUUUCUAGGUUAAGGUCAUUAUCCAAGUUUCCCGAGGCCUCUUCCCAAGUUCAGCAUUGAUUAGAAAGUCUAGUGUUCUCCAUUUGAAGAUCAAGCAUGGAGAAGUGCAAGUUCCUAAAGUCCUUGAGCUAUGAAUUCAAGCCGUGGGGGCAUGAUUUCUAGUCUUGAACCUGUAAACAUGGAGUUUAGAAAAUGCAAAGUCCCGUUUUUAUCAAGAGCAUUAAGUGAAACGCACGAGGAGCAUCGGAAUGAUAGGGAAGAAGGAUGCCCUACUCCCAAGCGCGAGCGCGCGCAACUAUGGCGCGGCUGCGCGGCCAGGUGGAGCGGGCGCGCCUGUCUGGGUCCCUAUUUUGUUCCCAGAUUUGCGUGAUCGCGCUCUCCCUUAUAGUUGGCCGCGCCUGUAUAGGUUUAUUUGGGGACGAUCUAACUAAAUUCUCUUAGUUUUACUAUAUAGAUUUUCUUUCUAUUUUUAAAAGAGGAGAAUUAGAGAAAAUUAGAGAAUUAAUUUAGAAAUUAGAAUUAGAAUUUUAGGGAGAGAAACUGUAGAUGGUAGAGAGAGAGGUUCUUGAUUGUUGAUUGAUGAUUGAAUAUUGUUAAUUCUAGCAUUUUCUCCAUUGAAUUAAAGCAAUUUUGUAA